UACGGAGGGAGCUAGCGUUGUUCGGAAUUACUGGGCGUAAAGCGCGUGUAGGCGGCCUAGUGUGUCGGGCGUGAAAUCCCACGGCUCAACCGUGGAAGUGCACUCGAAACUGCAAGGCUGGAGUACUGGAGAGGAUGGUAGAAUGCUCGGUGUAGAGGUGAAAUUCGUAGAUAUCGAGCGGAAUACCGGUGGCGAAGGCGGCCAUCUGGACAGUCACUGACGCUGAGACGCGAAAGCGUGGGGAGCAAACAGG
rnacentral:rRNA from 1 species